CCUACGGGUGACAGCAGUGAGGAAUAUUGGUCAAUGGGCGCAAGCCUGAACCAGCCACGCAGCGUGAAGGAUGACGGCCCUCUGGGUUGUAAACUUCUUUUUUACAGGAAUAAAGUCAGACACGCGUAUCUUUGUGUACGUAAUUUACGAAUAAGGAUAGGCAAACCUCGUGCCAUCCGCCGCGGUAAUUCGGAGGAUUCGAGCGUUAUCCGGAUUUAUUGGGUUUAAAGGGAGCGUAGGUGGGUUGGUAAGUCAGUUGUGAAAUUCUGCGGCUCAAACGAAGAAGUGCCAUUGAUACUGGCAGUCUAGAGUGCAGUUGAGGUAGGCGGAAUGCGUGGUGUAGCGGUGAAAUGCUUAGAUAUCACGAAGAACACCGAUUGCGAAGGCAGCUUACUAAGCUUCUACUGACGUUGAGGCACGAAAGCGUGGGUAGCAAACAGGAUUAGAUACCCCAGUAGUC
rnacentral:rRNA from 1 species